CGAUUUCAAUUUUGAUUAGCCAAAAUAAAUUUGUGUUAACUUUGAAUUAGUAGUAUGAAAGUUAUUGCAUCCGGUUCGACCCCGAUUUGAUCCUGGUUGAAUGUUUUGACCCUUGACCUGUGAGCUUUUUUGGGUCGAUUUUCAAAACAUUGUUAUUUAAUAAAGGAUAGAGUCAUUUUUAGUGGUUUAAUUGGGUUUCAUAUCCACAAAGGUGUUAUCACUUGUGGCUUGACAUACUUAUGUGUAAUUUUGUUUAGUAAACUGCAAUUGGCAAAAUGAAUUUUCAUGAAUGAGCUGCACAUUUGUAAGUACGCUUAAUGAAUUUUAGCAAACAAGAACUGGCGAAAUUCUGUUUUUUCAUGAAUGUGAUAUUGCAUUUCAUUUACAACUGGCUUUAGUUAUUACCAUGUUAACAUUUAAAAUUACUUAUUUUCCAUCAAAUGUUACGAAUUGAAAGUAUACUAUUGUGUUCAUGUGGUGCUAAACGUGACCAAUAUUUUUAUUGCAGUAGAAGAAAUUAUGGACAAUGUGUAAGACGAGUGUUGUGAUAUUUUAGUGGAAUCUGAUAGUGAGAAAGUCAUAGAAAUUGUGAACACAAUGGAAGGAAAAACGUAUGACGAUGUUUUGGUAGAUUUUGAUAAUGAGAACGUAACGAAAACCAUGAACAUAAAGGAAGGAAAAACGCAUGAUGAUGUAAGUUUGGGAAAUCAGAUAAUGAGAAUGUUAUGAAAAUCGUGAACAUAGUGGAAGGAAAAACUUUAGGAGAAGAUGGUGUAAUUGUCCUGGAGGUGGAUAUGCUAUUCAAAGAUGAGAAAGAGACGUAUCAGUUGUACAAAAAGUAUACUUAUACGGUAGGUUUUCCAGUAAAGAAAAGGAAUUCAAUAAAGGAUGAGAAUGGAGUUUUGCGGUAUGUAACUUUGACAUGUAGUCGUGAAGGAUGAAAGAGUGGUGACAUUGGCGGUUCUUUGAAGCUGCAACCAACAAUUCAGAUGGAUUGUAAAGCUAAGAUAUCUGCAUAUUCAAUAUCCAUAGAACUUGCUUGGCGAAUGAGAUGUUGUAAUAAUACAAUCCUAUUUUUCAAAAAUGCAAGCGCAAUGAUUGGGCUUUUAUUUCAAUAUGGAUUUGUACGAUGAUUUAUGACUGAAAAAUGUAUUUUAGCUAGAUAAUUGGUGUAGACAAUCGUAUAAGAAGUUCGACGAAAUCGUUACAUUUGAUACCACUUAUCUCACCAAAAAGUACAACAUGCGUUCGCUCCUUUUGUUGGCGUGAAUCAUCAUGGAUAAUCAACACUACUUGGUUUUGUGGUUUACUAUCGAAUGAAGACACAAAUUCUUUUGUCUGAUUGUUCAGGACAUGGUUUUCAGUGUAUACACAGUCGAGCUCCGCAAGGAAUAACUACGGAUCAAGAUAGGGCUAUGUAAAAUACAAUUCAGAUGGUUUUUUCGAAUAUGAAGCAUAAAUGGUGUUCAUGGCAUAUUAUGAAGAAGUUGCGUUCGAAGUGUAUAGCUACCACUCAGAUAAGGGUAAAAUAUUUGGGACCACACACGCAUUGGAGUAUGAUUCGUAGUUUGUUCAAGAAUUUCAAGAUGGUCGGAGAGUCAUGAUUUAUACAUUUAGCUUACAGGAUAAUGAUUAAUUGGCUAGAUUGUAUGACAACAGAGGUCGUUGGGUUUCGUGUUUGUUGAAAACUACUUUUUGGGUUGGGAUGUCGAUAACACAAAGAAGUGAGAGUAUGAAUGUAUUCAUUGAUGGAUAUGUGCAUUCGAAGACUUCUUUGAAACAAUUUGUUGAACGGUAUGAAGGUGCACCAAGGAAUAAGGUCGAGAAGGAGUUCUAAGCCGAUUUCAAGUCAUUAUCUGAAAUGGUACUUUGUGCAACAGAAUUUGAAAUGGAGAAGCAGUUUCAGUUAGUCUACACAAUUUCAAAAUUCAGAGAGGUUGAGAUUGAGUUCACGAGGAAGGUUUAUUGUGACAUCAUAUCUACUGCUGAGAGAUGUUUGGGGACGACGCAUGAGGUACGGGAGGUUGUUACUUUUGAGGGUUGUUGGAGGAAAAAAAUUCUUCGUCUCAUUUCAGAAAGAGAAAUGUGAUAUUAUUUUCAUUUAUCACUUAUUCGAGUUUCGAGGAAUAAUAUGUGGACAUGUGAUCGCAGUAUGAUCCGCAAUGAUGUGACAUGGCUGUCGAAGAAGUAUAUACUGUGGACAUGGAGGAGAGACGUUAAUAGAGCGCACACGAGGGUCGCAGUGAACUAUGAUGGCUUAGUUACCACUUCUGACAGUUGAGAUACGAUAAUAUGUGCCAAGCUUUUGGACAGAUGGUUGACCUUGCUGCAGAUGAUGAACGGUGGUCACGUUCGAUAAUGGAUUGGAUAAAAAAUCAAUGUUGCCUACUUAUUAGUGCAAAGUCAAGUAGCGGUAGUAAUCAAGUUUUGCCGCAUGCUUCUCAAGUGCCCAGUCAUUGUACUUAUUUACAAAAUACAUCGAGCGUGAGCAUACUGGAUCCAAAAUCUACUCGCAGAAAGGGCGUGUCGAAGAAACUUUGGAGGAAAAGCCCAUUGGAUUCAACUUAGAAGAAAUCGAAGGUAUGUUCAAAUGUUUGCCCCUAAUCUGCAACUAAUGUGAAGUACAUUUAUUCUGAUUUUCGACAUCAACAAUAGCGAAGAGAACUAAAUUGAAGCAGAGUAAUAUGCAAAAGGGCACAAACAACUUUGAGCCGGCUCAACAACUACCUUAUUUCACGUCAUCAGAAUUCCCACUUUCACAAUAUGCCAUCCCUACACAAUUUUCUCUUUCACAAUAAUUACCGUCUUCAUAUUUCAUCCCUUCGUCCUUGACAAAUGUUAUAUACAAUUUGCAAGGUAUUCACAUUAGUCGAUAUAUGAACUUCAACUUCAAUCUAUCGUUUCAAUACCUUUAAUUUUCUAUACUGUAUUAUAAUGUAGGUCGAGCGAUGACAUACUGGAAUUAAAACUUACCGGAUUAAGAUGGCUUUGGCUUGUGAAGUUGGACGUGCAUCCAGUAAUGUUCAAUUAACACUCACAGCAAGUAUCAUCUCUGUGUUGUCAUGACAGAUUAAAUAUCAUUCAUACUAUUGAAUUAUUGUUGGGUUUAUUGAUGUUACAUUUGUUGGUCUACAUGAUUGAGUUAACCAAUACUUAUCAAAUUAAUCCCAUAGCAACUGGUCCAUUGUUUUGUAGCUAUGGAGGCCUUCGUUAACUUGGCAAAGCAUAAAGCAAGUAAUGAUGACGUACUCGAAUUAAAACUUACCGGACUAAGAAGGCUUUGGCUUGUGAAGUUGGACGUGCAUCCAGUAAUGUUCAAUUAACACUGACAGCAAGUAUCGUCUCCUUUGUGUUGUCAUGACAGAUUAUCAUUCAUACUAUUGAAUUAUUGUUGGGUUUAUUGAUGUUACAUUUGUUGGUCUAAUCCCAUAGCAACUGGUCUAUUGUUUUGUAGCUAUGGAGGCCUUCGUUAACUUGGCAAAGCAUAAAGCAAGUCCUAAACCAAGCGAUUUAUUGCUAGAAUUGGAAGCAAUACAUAUUUGCCUAUUUUUUGUCAUUGUUGCUGGACCAAAUAUUGUAUGGAUGAUGGUGCUUCAAUUUUGUUUUUUCUGUGUCAAGGACAUCUGCUUUUUGUUAUGAAUAGGUCUCUAAAGAUGUAGUCCUAUUUUUUUGAUUAGAAGGUAAUUUGUAAAUUACAUGUAGUAGACUUGCCUCCAUAUUUCUUUACAUUAUAUAUGAAAAUAGAGAAUGUCACCCUCUUAAUUUUUA
rnacentral:lncRNA from 1 species